UGGCGGACGGGUGAGUAAUACAUCGGAACGUGCCCGAUCGUGGGGGAUAACGAAGCGAAAGCUUUGCUAAUACCGCAUACGAUCUACGGAUGAAAGCAGGGGACCGCAAGGCCUUGCGCGAACGGAGCGGCCGAUGGCAGAUUAGGUAGUUGGUGGGAUAAAAGCUUACCAAGCCGACGAUCUGUAGCUGGUCUGAGAGGACGACCAGCCACACUGGGACUGAGACACGGCCCAGACUCCUACGGGAGGCAGCAGUGGGGAAUUUUGGACAAUGGGCGAAAGCCUGAUCCAGCCAUGCCGCGUGCAGGAUGAAGGCCUUCGGGUUGUAAACUGCUUUUGUACGGAACGAAAAGACUCUGGUUAAUACCUGGGGUCCAUGACGGUACCGUAAGAAUAAGCACCGGCUAACUACGUGCCAGCAGCCGCGGUAAU
rnacentral:rRNA from 1 species